rnacentral:piRNA from 1 species
UAAACGGAGGAACAUGGACGUGG